rnacentral:rRNA from 1 species
UACAGAGGUCUCGAGCGUUAGGCGGAAUCACUGGGCUUAAAGCGUGUGUAGGCGGGUCGUUAAGUGCCUUGUGAAAUCCCAUGGCUCAACCAUGGAACUGCUGGGCAUACUGGCGAUCUUGUGCAACCUAGGGGCUACCGGAACAGAUGGUGGAGCGGUGAAAUGCGUAGAUAUCAUCUGGAACGCCAAUGGUGAAAACAGGUAGCUGGGAGUGUGCUGACGCUGAGACACGAAAGCCAGGGGAGCGAACGGG